rnacentral:tRNA from 1 species
AGAGAGGUGUCCGAGUGGCUUAAGGAGCUCGCUUGGAAAGCGAGUAUGCCCCAAAAGGGCAUCGGGGGUUCGAAUCCCUUCCUCUCUG